AGUGAACGCUGGCGGUAGGCCUAACACAUGCAAGUCGAACGGCAGCACAGUAAGAGCUUGCUCUUACGGGUGGCGAGUGGCGGACGGGUGAGGAAUACAUCGGAAUCUACUUUUUCGUGGGGGAUAACGUAGGGAAACUUACGCUAAUACCGCAUACGACCUACGGGUGAAAGCAUGGGAUCUUCGGACCUUGCGCGAUUGAAUGAGCCGAUGUCGGAUUAGCUAGUUGGCGGGGUAAAGGCCCACCAAGGCGACGAUCCGUAGCUGGUCUGAGAGGAUGAUACGCCACACUGGAACUGAGACACGGUCCAGACUCCUACGGGAGGCAGCAGUGGGGAAUAUUGGACAAUGGGCGCAAGCCUGAUCCAGCCAUACCGCGUGGGUGAAGAAGGCCUUCGGGUUGUAAAGCCCUUUUGUUGGGAAAGAAAAGCAGCAGGUUAAUACCCCGCUGUUCUGACGGUACCCAAAGAAUAAGCACCGGCUAACUUCGUG
rnacentral:rRNA from 1 species